AAUAGAAGGAAAAAAAAUGGUUAAAACUCUAAAGUUUGUGCAUGUUAUGAUUUUCUUUCUUUCUCUUAUCCUUGUUGCACAUAACUGUUUCCUUGUUGCACAAAACUCUGACGCGUAUGUUCCAUGUAUAACUGUUGCUGAUUGUCCACCAAAUACUUGGUUUAAGAUAUAUAGGUGCGAAAAAGGAAUAUGUAGAUAUCAUAAAUUGUGGAUUGUAUGAGUACCAGGCCCAAAAGGAUGCACUUACGCCAUGUAGGGAAGAAGAAGAAGAAGAAAAAAAUACAUGAAAGGAUCUUUUGAAUGAAAGGACAAAUACUGAACUAAAAUAUCUUAAGAAGGCAUGUUCUCUGAUGAAAAAUGCAACUACACAAUUUUAUACUCAGUCCUUAUGAUCAAGGUAACCAAGAAUAGUUGAUGUCGUGUGAGCUUUCCUUCUCGUGUGUCUUAGGUGCU